rnacentral:rRNA from 1 species
UACACUCCUGCGGGAGGCAGCAGUGGGGAAUUUUGGACAAUGGGCGAAAGCCUGAUCCAGCAAUGCCGCGUGAGUGAAGAAGGCCUUCGGGUUGUAAAGCUCUUUUGUCAGGGAAGAAACGGUGAGAGCUAAUAUCUUUUGCUAAUGACGGUACCUGAAGAAUAAGCACCGGCUAACUACGUGCCAGCAGCCGCGGUAAUACGUAGGGUGCAAGCGUUAAUCGGAAUUACUAGGCGUAAAGCGUGCGCAGGCGGUUUUGUAAGUCUGAUGUGAAAUCCCCGGGCUCAACCUGGGAAUUGCAUUGGAGACUGCAAGGCUAGAAUCUGGCAGAGGGGGGUAGAAUUCCACGUGUAGCAGUGAAAUGCGUAGAUAUGUGGAGGAACACCGAUGGCGAAGGCAGCCCCCUGGGUCAAGAUUGACGCUCAUGCACGAAAGCGUGGGGAGCAAACAGGAUUAGAAACCCUAGUAGUCCCA